GUGAGGAAUAUUGGUCAAUGGGCGGGAGCCUGAACCAGCCAAGUCGCGUGAAGGAAGAAGGAUCUAUGGUUCGUAAACUUCUUUUGCAGGGGAAUAAAGUGCAGGACGUGUCCUGUUUUGUAUGUACCCUGAGAAUAAGGAUCGGCUAACUCCGUGCCAGCAGCCGCGGUAAUACGGAGGAUCCGAGCGUUAUCCGGAUUUAUUGGGUUUAAAGGGUGCGUAGGUGGUUUGAUAAGUCAGCGGUGAAAGUUUGCAGCUUAACUGUAAAAAUGCCGUUGAAACUGUCGGACUUGAGUGUAGAUGAGGUAGGCGGAAUGCGUGGUGUAGCGGUGAAAUGCAUAGAUAUCACGCAGAACUCCGAUUGCGAAGGCAGCUUACUAAGCUACAACUGACACUGAAGCACGAAAGCGUGGGGAUCAAACAGGAUUAGAAACCCCUGUAGUCC
rnacentral:rRNA from 1 species